GUAAUACAUCUCUUAAGCCAGAACAAUUGAAAGGAGAUUUCAGUAGCUUAAAUCCUGUAAAUUGUAGCUGAAUAAAAUACAGUAUGAAGCUGAAGUGCCUCAUCAGACAAGGACUGAAUAGCAAAAGCAGAGCAAAAGCCUGGAUUUGGGGAGAGGCAGCUGGACUGAGUGAGGAGUGAAAUGAGAAAAGUGCUCGGAUCAUGUUUUAUGGGAUGCGUAGCCUACACAGUAAGUCAAGAAUUAUUGUCACCUUUAGCUGUCCAGAAGAAAAAGAAAAAAAGCCGUUAUCAGAGGUAAUUUCCAAGGACAUUACAAUUAAGAGGAGGUGAGUGUCAGUUUGUUUAAAUAUGUUUCAAUAUAUGUUACUUUUUUUAACAUUAACUACUUCUC
rnacentral:lncRNA from 1 species